AGCGGCGGACGGGUGGAGAACGCGUGGGUAACCGUGCCUCAUACAGGGGAGUAACAGUUGGAAACGGCUGCUAAUACCGCAUAAGCGCACAGUACCGCAUGGUACCGUGUGAAAAACUCCGGUGGUAUGAGAUGGACCCGCGUCUGAUUAGCUAGUUGGUGGGGUAACGGCCUACCAAGGCGACGAUCAGUAGCCGACCUGAGAGGGUGACCGGCCACAUUGGGACUGAGACACGGCCCAA
rnacentral:rRNA from 1 species